rnacentral:sRNA from 1 species
GGUGUGGGCCGAAGAUAUGCUCAUGUGGUGUUGAGGAAAGCAGACAUUGACCUCACCAAGAGGGCGGGAGAACUCACUGAGGAUGAGGUGGAACGUGUGAUCACCAUUAUGCAGAAUCCACGCCAGUACAAGAUCCCAGACUGGUUCUUGAACAGACAGAAGGAUGUAAAGGAUGGAAAAUACAGCCAGGUCCUAGCCAAUGGUCUGGACAACAAGCUGCGUGAAGACCUGGAGCGACUGAAGAAGAUUCGGGCCCACAGAGGGCUGCGUCACUUCUGGGGGUGAGUGGGGGUCUGAUCUCCCUGCCUACCUCGACUCACAGCAUUCCUCCUACUCGCUCUUCCUUUUCCCCGACCUUUUGUUUGUGCUGUGUAUGACCUAUGACCCUUCUCUUUUUACCUGCAGCCUUCGUGUCCGAGGCCAGCACACCAAGACCACUGGCCGCCGUGGCCGCACCGUGGGUGUGUCCAAGAAGAAAUAAGUCUGUAGGCCUUGUCUGUUAAUAAAUAGUUUAUAUACC